CCUCUCCCCCGCGUCCUGGCCCUGUGCUUUCAGAGUUUGUCUCAGCCUGCAGCUGGUCCUCAAUCAUCCUUAGGGGCCCGAGUCAGUGGCCUCUGUCAACGCUAAGGUCAGGACAGGACAUAGUUCCAGGACAGAUUCCCUAGGACCACCCAGCUAGACUGACCUUUAGUACUCAGGAUCUGACGGAAGUGGAAGCUGAGGACAGGCUGUGACUGGCUUUUGCUGGGAAGAGGCGGGGCCUGGGUGGGCGGAGCCUCUUGUGACCCACAGAACGCCUGCCCGGUUUGAAACUGGGAUGUCCCACCUACAGCCAGAAGCAGGAAGAAGCUUCUUGAUGGUGACUGGGCCAGACACUGAGCUGAGUACAGGUCUGAUGUAGCUACUGAGGAAUCCCAGAUGGGAUGUGACGAGCUGCUUCAAGCUCCUGCUGCCGCCUUUGAUGGAAUGACUGUACCUUGGACUGUGAGCUAGAUAAAUCUUCCCACCUUAAGUCUCUUUUUGUCAAGGUAUCUUAUGACAGCACCGGGGGAUAAAACCCAAGACAGAAGCUGAAGACUGGUGUUCCUUAGAGAAGUUACAUAAUUUGUUUUCCUGCUUGAAGUCACCACCCAGUUUACAUCUCCCCACAUAGUCAGAACACUAACCUUUUACAGAAUGUCUCAUGCUUCAUCCUGUUCGCCGAUAAUGCUCUCACAUUUGUCUACCACAGGAACAGCCACAGGGAUUGUGGAAAUGUUCCCUGUGACCAGCUCCCACGGCAGAAUGGAAGAGAAGAGGCUGUUUGUUGUUGUAAAAAUAUAAAAUAAAACAAGUAUUGUUGGUCUUUUAUCCCGCUAGGCCUGCACCGCGGUGCCCCAAGAUAUCUGCUAGAUAUCUUGGCAGAAACACAUCCCAACUCCUCAGCGGCCCAGUGUCUCCUGCCGCCACACACUUUCCUUCACUCAAACCCUCACAUAAAAGAACACAUAACACAAUAAUCUUAGAUCCAAUUGAUAAGAUAUAAUUGCCCACUUAAACAUACAAACCCUGGUACCAUUCAUCCCUUAGGAACAUUGAUAACAACCUGUAAAUACACAGAGCAG
ensembl:lncRNA